GAAUUCGCCCUUAGAGUUUGAUCUUGGCUCAGGACGAACGCUGGCGGCGUGCUUAACACAUGCAAGUCGAACGGAGUACCCUCGAAAGAGAUUUCGGUCAAUGGAGAGGACUACUUAGUGGCGGACGGGUGAGUAACGCGUGAGGAACCUGCCUUUCAGUGGGGGACAACAGUUGGAAACGACUGCUAAUACCGCAUAACGUACUGGUAUCGCAUGGUACUGGUACCAAAGAUUUAUCGCUGAGAGAUGGCCUCGCGUCUGAUUAGCUAGUUGGUAGGGUAACGGCCUACCAAGGCGACGAUCAGUAGCCGGACUGAGAGGUUGGCCGGCCACAUUGGGACUGAGAUACGGCCCAGACUCCUACGGGAGGCAGCAGUGGGGAAUAUUGGGCAAUGGGCGCAAGCCUGACCCAGCAACGCCGCGUGAAGGAAGAAGGCUUUCGGGUUGUAAACUUCUUUUGACAGGGAAGAGCAGAAGACGGUACCUGUCGAAUAAGCCACGGCUAACUACGUGCCAGCAGCCGCGGUAAUACGUAGGUGGCAAGCGUUGUCCGGAUUUACUGGGUGUAAAGGGCGUGUAGCCGGGCUGACAAGUCAGAUGUGAAAUCCGGGGGCUCAACCCCCGAACUGCAUUUGAAACUGUUGGUCUUGAGUAUCGGAGAGGCAGGCGGAAUUCCUAGUGUAGCGGUGAAAUGCGUAGAUAUUAGGAGGAACACCAGUGGCGAAGGCGGCCUGCUGGACGACAACUGACGGUGAGGCGCGAAAGCGUGGGGAGCAAACAGGAUUAGAUACCCUGGUAGUCCACGCUGUAAACGAUGGAUACUAGGUGUGCGGGGACUGACCCCCUGCGUGCCGCAGCUAACGCAAUAAGUAUCCCACCUGGGGAGUACGAUCGCAAGGUUGAAACUCAAAGGAAUUGACGGGGGCCCGCACAAGCGGUGGAUUAUGUGGUUUAAUUCGAUGCAACGCGAAGAACCUUACCAGGGCUUGACAUCCUACUAACGAAGUAGAGAUACAUUAGGUACCCUUCGGGGGAAGUAGAGACAGGUGGUGCAUGGUUGUCGUCAGCUCGUGUCGUGAGAUGUUGGGUUAAGUCCCGCAACGACCGCAACCCUUAUUGUUAGUUGCUACGCAAGAGCACUCUAGCGAGACUGCCGUUGACAAAACGGAGGAAGGUGGGGACGACGUCAAAUCAUCAUGCCCCUUAUGUCCUGGGCUACACACGUAAUACAAUGGCGGUCAACAGAGGGAUGCAAAACCGUGAGGUGGAGCGAACCCCUAAAAGCCGUCCCAGUUCAGAUCGCAGUCUGCAACCCGACUGCGUGAAGUCGGAAUCGCUAGUAAUCGCGGAUCAGCAUGCCGCGGUGAAUGCGUUCCCGGGCCUUGCACACACCGCCCGUCA
rnacentral:rRNA from 1 species